GUGUGUCUUGUUCAGUGGUGGUCGUCUUUCAGCCUUUCUUACCUUGGCCAUGUCUCUGAGUAUUGCACACCUUGUGCUUUUGGGCACUCCAGUGAUGUUGCAGCUCUGAUAUAUGGCCAAACUGGUGGCAAGUGGCAUCGUGGCAGCUGCACGCUUGACUUUUCUCAGUUCAUGGGCAGUUAUUUUGCGCCUUGGUUUUUCCACACGCUUCUUGCGACCCUGUUGACUAUUUUGAAUGAAACGCUUGAUUGUUCGAUGAUCACGCUUCAGAAGCUUUGCAAUUUUAUGAGUGCUGCAUCCCUCUGCAAGAUAUCUCACUAUUUUUGACUUUUCUGAGCCUGUCAAGUCCUUCUUUUGACCCAUUUUGCCAAAGGAAAGGAAGUUGCCUAAUAAUUAUGCACACCUG